UACGUAGGGUGCGAGCGUUGUCCGGAUUUAUUGGGCGUAAAGAGCUCGUAGGCGGUUUGUCGCGUCGGCCGUGAAAUCUCCACGCUUAACGUGGAGCGUGCGGUCGAUACGGGCAGACUUGAGUUCGGUAGGGGAGACUGGAAUUCCUGGUAUAGCGGUGAAAUGCGCAGAUAUCAGGAGGAACACCGAUGGCGAAGGCAGCUCGCUGGAACGGUACUGACGCUGAGGCGCGAAAGCGUGGGGGAGCGAACAGG
rnacentral:rRNA from 1 species